UUGAAAUGGUCUCUCUCUCUCUCUCUCUCUCUCUCUCUCUCUCUGUGUGUGUGUGUGUGUGAGAGAGAGAGAGAGAGAGAGAGAGAAUGUUGAGGCUCAAUGAUAAG